rnacentral:sRNA from 1 species
ACUUGGAGGCCUAUUUGGAGGUUCAGGAGCAAUACGGAAACUCCUGUAAUUCUUAAGUAUUUCACAAAUUUCAGUCGGACGUAACCAUCGGCGUUGAGCCUCCUUCAGUAUCUGCUCAAUAUCU